CGUGUAGGCGGACAUGGAAGUCGGGCGUGAAAUCCCUGGGCUCAACCCAGGAACUGCACUCGAAACUCCAUGUCUAGAGUGUUGGAGAGGGAAGCGGAAUUCCUGGUGUAGAGGUGAAAUUCGUAGAUAUCAGGAGGAACACCGGUGGCGAAGGCGGCUUCCUGGACAACCACUGACGCUGAGACGCGAAAGCGUGGGGAGCAAACA
rnacentral:rRNA from 1 species